UGGUUCUGGCAUCGAUGAAGAACGCAGCGAAAUGCGAUAAGUAGUGUGAAUUGCAGACUUUAGUGAAUCAUCGAAUCUUUGAACGCACAUUGCGCCCCUUGGUAUUCCAUUGGGCAUGCCUGUUCGAGCGUCAUUUACCCCCUCAAGCUCCGCUUGGUGUUGGGCGUCUGUUCGCGCUCCCGGCGUGGACUCGCCCUAAAUCUAUUGGCGGCGGCUCUGUCGGCCUUCCGCGCAGCACUUUGCGCGCCCGGAGGCUUUCGGCGGGCCCGCGUCCAUGCAGGAAACCCCAUCGUUUGACCUCGAAUCAGGUAGGGAUACCCGCUGA
rnacentral:misc_RNA from 1 species